rnacentral:rRNA from 1 species
GAUGAACGCUGGCGGCGUGCCUAAUACAUGCAAGUCGAGCGAACAGAUGAGGAGCUUGCUCCUCUGACGUUAGCGGCGGACGGGUGAGUAACACGUGGAUAACCUACCUAUAAGACUGGGAUAACUUCGGGAAACCGGAGCUAAUACCGGAUAAUAUAUUGAACCGCAUGGUUCAAUAGUGAAAGACGGUUUUGCUGUCACUUAUAGAUGGAUCCGCGCCGCAUUAGCUAGUUGGUAAGGUAACGGCUUACCAAGGCAACGAUGCGUAGCCGACCUGAGAGGGUGAUCGGCCACACUGGAACUGAGACACGGUCCAGGCUCCUAAGGGAGGCAGCAGUAGGGAAUCUUCCGCAAUGGGCGAAAGCCUGACGGAGCAACGCCGCGUGAGUGAUGAAGGUCUUCGGAUCGUAAAACUCUGUUAUUAGGGAAGAACAAAUGUGUAAGUAACUAUGCCCGUCUUGACGGUACCUAAUCAGAAAGCCACGGCUAACUACGUG